AUGGAAGGUGAUGGAGGACUUAUGCCACCGCCUUCAACUGUUCCUAAACAGAAAUUGGAUAAACCAAAGAAAUUGGAAACACCUCUAGCGGCUAUGCUGCCUUCUAAAUAUGCUAAUGUGGAUGUAACAGAACUUUUCCCGGAUUUUCGGCCUGACAAGGUAUUAUUAUUUUCCCGGUUAUUUGGUCCUGGUAAAUUGUCAAGCCUGCCACAAAUAUGGCGUGG